rnacentral:rRNA from 1 species
UACGGAGGGUGCGAGCGUUGUCCGGAAUCACUGGGCGUAAAGGGCGCGUAGGCGGCAUGCCAAGCGUGUGGUGAAAGCCCGGGGCUCAACCCCGGGUCGGCCGUGCGGACUGGCGUGCUCGAGCACUGUAGGGGCGGGUGGAAUUCCGGGUGGUAGCGGUGGAAUGCGUAGAGAUCCGGAAGAACACCGGUGGCGAAGGCGGCCCGCUGGGCAGGAAGACGACCGCAAGGUGUCGGCUGACGCUGAGGCGCGACAGCGUGGGG